rnacentral:misc_RNA from 1 species
CAACCCUCAAGCCCAGCUUGGUGUUGGGGCCUUGCGGCCUGCCGCAAGCCCUGAAAAACAGUGGCGGGCUCGCUAUAACUCCGAGCGUAGUAAUGUAUCUCGCUAGGGACGUUGAGCGGGCGUUUGCCGUUAAACCCCCCAAUUAUCUAA